AAUCAACGCUGGCGGCGUGCCUCAGACAUGCAAGUCGAACGCGAAAGUUUCCUUCGGGAGGCGAGUAGAGUGGCGCACGGGUGAGUAACACGUAGGUAAUUUGCCUUUGGGUGGGGAAUACCAACCGGAAACGGUUGUUAAUACCGCAUAAUGCAGCGGCAUCAUAAGAUGACAGUUGUUAAAGCGGGGGAUUCGUAAGAACCUCGCGCCUAAAGAGGAGCCUGCGGCGGAUUAGGUAGUUGGNGAGGUAAUGGCUCACCAAGCCUGCGAUCCGUAACCGACCUGAGGAGGGUGGUCGGUCACACUGACACUGACAUACGGGUCAGACUCCUACGGGAGGCAGC
rnacentral:rRNA from 1 species